rnacentral:rRNA from 1 species
CAGCAGCCGCGGUAAUACCGGCGGCCCGAGUGGCGGCCACUAUUAUUGGGCUUAAAGCGUCCGUAGCCGGGUUGGUUAGUCUCCCGGGAAAUCUGGCCGCUUAACGGUCAGAAUUCCGGGGGAUACUGCCAGCCUAGGGACCGGGAGAGGCCGAGGGUAUUCCCGGAGUAGGGGUGAAAUCCUAUAAUCCCGGGAGGACCACCUGUGGCGAAGGCGCUCGGCUGGAACGGGUCCGACGGUGAGGGACGAAGGCCAGGGGAGCAAACCGGAUUAGAUACCCGGGUAGUCCUGGCGGUAAACGAUGCGGACUUUGUGUCGGACAAGCUAUGAGCUUGUCCGGUGCCGGAGGGAAACCGUUAAGUCCGCCGCCUGGGGAGUACGGCCGCAAGGCUGAAACUUAAAGGAAUUGGCGGG